GAGUCGACUAUAUUGCCAAUCUUUGAUACAUUGGGUUAGGGUUACAUGCUGUCUGCUUAAAGCUUGCUACUCCCAGAAGCAACUGUUCUCGGAAGAUGGAUUCCUGGAGUCAGCUGAUCACCAAAUGCUGUUUCUCUACUGUCAUCGCAGUAGCACAGCUGAGAGUGUAGGGAAGGGGAAAAAGAAUGUUCAAAAACAGGAUGGGCUUCCUUGGAAGAGCCUGAACUCUCAGUCCCUGGAAACAUCCAAGAGAAACUGCACUAUCUUCAUUCAACACUCACUCACAAACACCUACCAUGGACCAGGCGCUGGGAAUACAAGCGGGUGCUGAGCCUU